AAACCCAUCGUUUCCUCAGCUCUAUGUUUUGCUUUCGAAUUAGUUCUUCGUCUCCUUCGCUGAUUCUCAACAACAACCGUCAAAUCGAUGGUUUCCUGAUAAAUCUGUGUCCGAUUAAUUAUUUUCAUCGUUCCAUCAUACAGUAGUUCUCUCUAUCUCUUCUUCUCUAUCUGUUUUCUUCACGGCUAAAAAACAAAAUAAUUUUCCAGGAAAUCCAAGACCUGUAAAAGCAUCAAAAUUAUCCAGGAGAUUGAAGAACAUGGCAGCGGUUAAGCUUGCCCUUUCCCUGUUCUCUUUCGAUCUCAAUAGGUACACAAACGAGAACUCUUAACCAGGUUACUGAUUUGGGCUAUGUUUUGUUGUUCCUCACCAAAUUCUUACCUAGCAGGUAACCAAUCAAUGAAGCCAAUUUAUACCCUUGCAUAGCUUUGACGGAUUGACACACAGUUGAACCGUUUGUUGGUUUUGUAUAUGGUGGUGACGUUGUAUCGGGAUUGAAGAAUGUCAACUUAUGUGCUGCAUUCAAGGCUGGGAAGAAUGAACAUUGAUGGAUGAUUUAAGAUGAUUAUCUCGAAUAAGUCUAGCCAAAGUGCAUGACAUUAGCUGCGUUUAUUAUGGAUGAUCCCAUAGCAGAUUAUUCUCAACUGUGGAUUGCACAUAAAUAAAAACCAUAACUAUAACUGUAUUAUCAAGUUCUUUUGGGGUUUUGAUUCUUCUUUUUGAUUGAACUAUAUCGGCAGUGUAUCUCAAAUCAAUACCUCAAUACCGCUAUAUCUUUAAAUAGAGGGAAGGAGAGUUGAGCCUUAACUGGGAGUGUAUGAUGCCAGAACAAACCGAAACUGACAGGCAUAUCAUCUUGAGAGCCAAUGGGAGAUAUAUACUACUAAAUGCAAGGAUGAAACUGCAAGUGUAAAUGACCAUGGUGCUACGGAACUUCAUCAUCUUGAGAGCCAGUGGCAGCAACCCGAAUCGAAUUCCUUCACUGAGAUGAUACAGCCUAGCAGAUCACGGGUAUUUACUUUCCUGUUCUUCCUGUGAAACUUGCUGAGUUUCUGGAAUGAUGUAGGAAAUUCUAUCUAAAAGGUCAGAUUAUCUAAAUAAGUAUACGUUAUCUUCGAUUGUGUUUGCCUUCUACCGGCUAUCUCAUGUGAUUGCACCGACUUGGUUUGCCUCUACUAUUUAUUUUCAAAUGUAGUAAGCUUCACUGUGAUUGCAUGUUAAUUGGUUUUUUUUCUUAUCGUCUCUCGGAGAUCUCUUAUAGGGUCACUGAUGUAAUCUUAGAUGUGGCAUAUUUCUGUUGCAGGGUAAUGGGGCUGAUCUUCAAAAUAUUUUUGUGAUUACCUUCAUUCAUAUGUCCAGUCCUAAUUGAUCUUGUUAGUAUUUCUAUGUCUAAUCUGUAGUGCUCUAAGAGGCAUCUGUGGUUAGAGAUGAAAAUACUAACCCUAUUUCAGUUAGACAGAACAAACACAUAUGCCCGUCAGAAUUGUAAUUCUCUUCUAAACAAAUACGUAACAGUGUAUUUGUUACUAUUUCUUGGUCACAGCUACGCCUAAAGGAAAAUCACAGUGUACAGUGAGCGGUGGCAGACUGCAUGAAUUAUCCCUACCUUCUGGCAAAUAUUAUCGUUUUCUGUUUUGUGUGUGAUAGUUGCACUUUGGACACCAUUGCAGAAUUCAACAUGCCCAUGUUUGGCAGGUGUUUUGACUGGUUGAAUUUCAUACCCUCCCAAGAAUAGAUGAUACCGGAUGUCGAGGCCUUAUAUUUGAAACUCAAAGCAGUGGCAGUCCCAAAAUGUUACAGUGAUCACUUCUUGGCAGAAAAGCAGUAUAAGUACUAUGCUUGCUGCUGAGACUGUGACAGUCACAGGAGGAGUGGACACAACUAAUUAUGAAUAUACAUUUAAGAAAUUGUAUAACACGACCAGAAACUUAUGGUGAUGAAUGGGAAGAUGAUGAGUUUAUUGUAUGAGAUCAUGAAGACUUUAGCAAGUAUUUACCAGCAACGGUUAGUACGAUACAUCCCCUCUGAAAUAAUGUGUUGUUCUAUUCAGCUGUGUACUUUUCAGUGAAAUACAAGUACAAACUCCAAGUUUAACUAAAGUGGGUAGCAGAACACGACUUAUGCUCCAAAUUAAGGUAACCAGAGGCACGAGUUAAUAGCUAAAAUAGUGAAAGUCAAUAGUAGUUGUAUGUUACAAUCACUUUUUUCUCGAGAGAUGUAACGCCCUUUAUUCUAAUUUGUGUUGCUCUAAGUUCCCUCUUCUUUUCCGAGACCAUCUUAUGUGGCUUUGCUCAUUCUUUUAGUUCUUAUUUACCACUCCUGAGCAUCAGAUCAACUGUGAAGUGCGGAAAUUCUCCCACUAGCGAUUGAUUUUUUAUUCUGAUGUUAUUUUCACUAUUUCUU